AUGGCCACAGAGGCUGACGUCACCUGCCCUGUGUGCCAGGGGACCCCAAAGGAGCCCAGCAUCGUCAUCCCCUGUCGGCACCAAUUCUGCUUGGGAUGCAUCAUGCGCUGGGCCAACAGAAAUGCCACCUGCCCCCUCUGCAGGCAGGACAUCACCUCCGUACGCUACUCCAUUUGGUCAGAAGAUGACUUUAUGGAGGUGCAGUUCAUCCACCGCGCAGAGCCACAAAAUGACAGCCACCAGGAUGAGCAGGGGGCUCAUCCCCAGACGACCGUGAGGGGCCUCCUGCCUGAGCAAUGGGCGGCCCUUUUCAGGGAACACCCAACCAUCCUCAGUCCAUUGCGGCCCUGGGUGCGCCAGCAAGCCAGGGAGUUGUCUGGGGCUGCCUGGUGGGAGCAGGAUGUGCUGGAGGCCAACGUUGUCGCUUGGCUGUGUCUCUUCGGGCUGCAUGAGCAGGCCUUGGUCGGGGUGCUGCAGAGGUUCCUGCAGGGCCAUGCAACGAGCUUCGUGCAGCAGCUCAUUGAUAGAACUGUGGAGACGUGCAUCGACGACUUCCUCGAGAGGCUUGGGCUCCUGGAAUCCCCUCCUGCCAGCCAGCAGCAGAAUGGCCCUGAGGUGGACCUCGAGGGCUCGCAGGACAGCAGGGAGCCAGAAGACAGCCCUGUGGCCACCCCCAGCCCUGCUACCUCCUCCCGGGACACUUCUGUGACCGUCGUGCUCUCCUCUAGCAGCCCAGAGUCUUCUGACACCGAGGAGCUCCCCAGCACCUCCAGUGCUGCCCUGCGUGGGGAUCCUGGCCACCCAACUACCACACUCAUCCUCACAGAGCAGGAGGAGCCCUUCACAGAGCCGGGACCGGUGGCAGAAGAAGAUGCCGUGGUGCAGGGCUGCAGCCAUGGGCCCUUCCCUCCUGGCCAGGGCAGGGACCGCUCGCGUAGGAGGCCCCGUCGCCCCCCGAAAAGGAGGGCCAACAGCAACACAGACUCUCCCCAGCCCUGCAAGAGGCCACCCCCCCGGCACCUUUAG
rnacentral:lncRNA from 1 species